rnacentral:lncRNA from 1 species
CUUCUUUGAGAAAAGUGCAGCAAGUAUGCCCCAUGCUUCUUUUGGUGAUUUAGCAUCUCGAACAUGCUCCAACACAUCCUCAUCGAUUGUUGUUUUCAGCGCAAACAUUGAUUUGCCUGCUUUUAUCUUCCACUUACGUAACGUUCCAUUUGCAUCCUCUGCCUCCGGUUGUGCAACUUCGCUUCCGUGGACAACUUCC